AUCGAAAGAUUGUACCGAGAGUUAGACAUUGCGUAAUAUGUGAUAGAUUGAUCUGGAAGAUCAGUCCAGAUUUCAAGUGAUUCUUCAAGAAGACGUCCCUCAAUCGCUUUACAUACUUUCAACCAAUACCGUCUCAGCCUCCUCCAGCCUAGAUACACCAGCGCCCCAAACUCCAUACACGGUGCCAUAAAAAUUAGUUAACGCGAAAACGGUCACCGCUAAUUAUGUCCUUUUGCAGCCCAGGCCGAACUUCGUCGAACCGUUUACAGAGCAUCAUCUAAAUAAUUAAAUUACGCAAUCGCGCAACGCGUACCUGAAGCGUCCACAGACCUGUCGUCAGCAUUUCACCCUCAUUCGCGGUGACAUUCGCACGUACAGAGCAGGUCCGCUCAAGCACGGGAACACGACCCAGGAGUUCCAGCACUUGCGUAAUGCCCAUUAAUUAAACGCCGUCAUAAUUGAACCACCGGCGCGGUGUGUCUCUCCGUCUCUGGAGAAGGCCCAACCAAAGUGGAAGGCAACCGUUUUCAGUGCGGCUAAGUGAUGCGGCUAUAACCGCCACACCGCUCGGCUCGGUUACUUUCAUUGCCCUCCCUGGUGUCUGGUGUGUAAAAUAAUCAGCCAAACAUGAACGCACCACCAACAUGGACACCGAAAGCGAACGCUCCCGCGAGUGCGAGUGUUGUGUGAGGUGUAAAUUACAUGCAAUCUAAUCUAGCCACUGUCGGAUCGGGGAAGGUCCACUGGAGUGGUUCCGAUGCAGUAGGCUGUGCUGGCUGCAUCGUGCAGGUGCAUCCGAAUGCAUCGUGUAUGGUGAAGAAAGCUCCAGCAGACGCGACCGAUGGAAUCUGGAAAACCGAACAACAAGCGUGUAGUGAGUGUAUCGAAUGUUUUGCACACUUCGGCCCGGGUGUCUAUUACGCGUGCGUGAAAGUCUUGCUGUGGGCUGCUUUGCCGGAUAAUGAUACAGCUUAAUUUCAGAUCAUUAUUAAUUUAAUUUCUGACAUGCAAAACACGGCGGGGGGGCGCAGUGCAGUUCGUUGGGCAUGAACUGGAAUGC